GAGGAUGUGGCUCAGCGGUAGAAGCGGCAGAUUGCAAAUCUGUAGGUCCCCGGUUCGAUCCCGGGCAUUCUCU
rnacentral:tRNA from 1 species